UCUUCCUCAGUUGCUGGAACCUCAAUCUUUCUGACAGUGAGGAAUCAACUGGAGGUUUUUCACACCUGGCUUUUAGUUUGCAUCUCCUCCAGAAUUGAGGGGGUGCAUUCACAUAUCUACCAAAUAUACCCCGAUGUCCCUUCAAGCUAUCAAGGAGCACUUCACACCCAAUUCAGGUUUUUCAUUGUGUGAUUUACCCGAUUUAUAUCCAGGGUAAAAAACAAACAAACUAUUUUUUGUGCCAGAUUUUAUUUUAUUUUUUGGCAACUACGAAUUCAACUACGAACUGAGAAAACAUCUCAGUAAACCCGUGGUAAAGCCUGCUGUCUGGGAAAGCUCCUGGUGGCAAUGAAUCAGCAGGCAGUGGCAGUAAGAGGAGGACCAAAGCAAAAACAAGUAGGUCUGCAUAUUGUGCAGCAACUUAUGCAACCAUGAAACAACAGUUGGAGGAAUGCGUUGCAACUGCAUUCACAAAGAAAACCACUAUCAUCUGUGUUUGGCUCUGAUGGACAGAAGACAUUGGUAUCAUAUGUACCCAAGGCUGUACGUGUGUUGUCAACCAUGCACCAUGAUAUGGUGGUAGAAGGGAAGCAGAGGAAAUCAUGUCGCAUUUUGCAUUACAAUGUGAUGAAGAAUUGAGUUGACAAUGUAGACCACCUGGCGAGAAUGUACAGCUGUCAACGGAAGAUCCACUGGCAUGGUUUUUCAACAUGAUAGAUGUUGCCAGUAUCAUUGUCUGGUUGUCCAACCAGCCAGACUGGGAACAAAGGUCUGCAAGGAUGAUGCAGUGCUUGUUCCUUUUUAGCUUUGGAGAACAACUCAUAGAUACCCAUAUAAGAUGAAGACGAUUGGAAUUGCUGGAUCUGCCAGGAUGUGAACUGGCAGAUAAAAAACCAGCAUGGAUUGCACUGGGCUAUAAUCUCCCAUGCACUGCGGAAUGUGGGACAGCACCCAAAUCUGGAUGUUGUUCCCUUUGCUCAAGAAAAGCUGAUAGGAAAACAAACAGAAGAUGUGACAGUUGCAGGAGACUGGUUUGUAGAAUGCAUUCGAACAGUUGCCAAACUUGUAAUUAUUGCCUUUUGGUUGGUCACACUGUACAGUUCCUUACAGGAGAAAUGUUGAGAACUGAGCUGUUGGAAGUUGGAUCCUAAUUAUCAUUGGGUAGUCAGGAGACGAGGUUUCAUGCUGAGAUUCCAGCUGUACAGCAAACCAUUUAAAGUCCAAGGAGGACAAGAAUAUAAUCAGCCACAAUCUUGAUGCCUCCUAGGGCUUGGGACAAUUUGCACUGGAAGACUUCUGGAUAGGGAUGUGCAAACAGGUUUGAUGUCGAACAGGUUCAGUUUGAUGGUUUGAUAUUGAACUGACCCUCCCGCCAGUUCAGUUCACUAUCAGACUGACACCCCUGCCCCCGGCUGUUCAGAGGGGGUUUAGUGACCUAAAAGAUUAAUUCUAAAAAAAUUGUGAAACCCCCCCAACCCAACUGGGGGGGAGGUGUUUAGGGGGUGCCAACACUGAACAUACCUGGUCCGGUUCAAGUCCAGUCAGGGCAAUGUGGUUUUGUGCACACCCCUACUUCUGGAGCAGAGCUGAUUCCCAUUGGCAUCCUUAGCCAGCAGUACCUGCCAAAAGGGGUACUGAAUGUUGUCAGCUAGCUAGAUUGGCCAUUUAACUCCACGUGCCAAAAUCCAUUCUUGAUUCACUAAUGGUCAACACUUUUGCUCUAGAAUGAUAGUAGUACAUACUCAAUUGCUGGAUGUGGGUAGUAACUUCUUUUGAGUGCUCCACUGAGUGGUUUUGGAUCAAUGCAAAUUCUCAGUUUACCUGAUGGAUUCCUCUCUACUACCAGGCUGCUGAUCCAGUCUGUGUUUGUUUCCACUGGUGCAAUUAUGCCCUCUCCCCCUUUGGCAAAUGAGACAAUUCUUUCUUCUGUGGUUCCAUCAACAUCAGUGGAAUAAUGCAUUUAGGUAGUAUCACCAGUUGCACUUUUGGGUUUAUUUCUAGAUACAAUCUUCCCUCAAAAGUUCCAUUGCCCUGAAAUACAUCUUUAUAGCCUGACAGAAUGGUAGGCGGAGACACCACUCCCUGUUCCUGUUCUUCUGCAAUUAGGAGCAUGUUAUGGUGUUGCACUGUAAUUAGCUCCAUGUCGCGUGCUACCCAACUGCCCAGGAGUGGAUUAAUGUCUGCCACAUCUAUCACUAUGAAUUCCAGCCAGUAUUUUUUGUGCUUGUGUGGAUAUCCUAUAAACAGAUAGUACUUCCCUAGUUGCUUCACCCUUGUCUUGUUGUAUAUUAACAGCAACUUGUGGCAUUUUUCCAUCCUGAUGUUCCUAUUUAAUAAAGUCACUGGAAUAACAUUACAAGCAACUCCACAAUCCACCUGAAAUUUUAUAGGUUGUUGUUCUAGUAUCAUAGUUGCAAAUAUGGCUGAGGGUUUGUCUUCUUCUUUCCCUGUUGUGUAUCCCAUGAGGCUGUGUGUCUAUCACACAGAAAUACAUAUAAAUAUGUAUAAAUACAUUAAAAAAUAUUCUUCGUCUGUAGUGUCCUCUUCUCUUGUUACUGUUUGUACCAUUUGUUUAGUAGAUUGGUGGCUGUGGCACUAACUUCUCAAGCGGUUCAUCUUUCCAUUGCCUUUGCACUCCUUGCCUACACUAGGCACUUUCUCUUUCUGUCUAUCAUGUAAUCUCCUACAAUAGAGGCACUGAAUUGUCUUGGUUAUGUAUGCAGGUGAUCUGCCUAGUUUCUACCCCCCAGGGUCUUUUAAGUCUGAACCUGCUCUGCAGAGAAGUCUGUUGAUAUAUUUUGGAUCCAUUGUUUGGAUAAUUCUGCUGCCGGUGCAGUCUCUUGGCAUUUCCCCAGGUUUAGGUCAGUCUUUCGUAAUAAUCUUUCCCACAGCACAUGUGCCACAGACAAUCCUGAUUAAGGAGUUUUCUGUAUCUCCAAAACUGCAUAUGGAUGCCAGUAUAUUUAAUGCUAUAAUAUUCCUUCUGAUUCAGAAUAAAAAGCUGAUAUCUCUCCGUAGUCUAAUUUUCCAUGGGUCAAUGCAAUAAACACUUUUAGUAGAUGUUUUAAUGUCCCAAGGACCCAGUGCACUGUUGCAUUGACUUCCUGGCCCUUUCCCCCCACCAAGUAGUAAAACAAUUUUACUGCAUUUUCUCAUCAUUAUCUGCCAUGGUGAGGACUGUAUAUAGGGUAGACUGUUGCCUCCAUUGCUGCCAUUCCUGUGCCGGUUCUUUGUGUUGAAAUCUAGGGAACUUGGAGGACUCAAACUUUCCAUGUUGUUUUCAGUGCACUGCAAGCACACUGAGGCUUUGCACCCUUGCAGGCUUUCUUCCUGAGCUUCUUUCGUUCCAUGGGCCUCACAAGCAGGGCAGCAGCAGCAGAGCAAGGCAAGGCAGGCCACAGCAAUGCAGCAAGGCAAGGCAGCUCUCUCUCUUCUUCCUCCAGAAUCCAGAGGCAA